rnacentral:rRNA from 1 species
AUUGAACGCUGGCGGCAUGCUUUACACAUGCAAGUCGAACGGUAACAGGCCGCAAGGUGCUGACGAGUGGCGAACGGGUGAGUAAUGUAUCGGAACGUGCCCAGUCGUGGGGGAUAACGCAGCGAAAACUGCGCUAAUACCGCAUACGAUCUAAGGAUGAAAGCGGGGGAUCGCAAGACCUCGCGCGAUUGGAGCGGCUGAUAUCAGAUUAGGUUGUUGGUGAGGUAAAAGCUCACCAAGCCGACGAUCUGUAGCUGGUUUGAGAGAACGACCAGCCACCCUGGGACUGAGACACGGCCCAGACUCCUACGGGAGGCAGCAGUGGGGAAUUUUGGACAAUGGGCGAAAGCCUGAUCCAGCAAUGCCGCGUGCAGGAAGAAGGCCUUCGGGUUGUAAACUGCUUUUGUACGGAACGAAAAGGCUCUUUCUAAUAAAGAGGGCCCAUGACGGUMCCGURAGAAUAAGCMCCGGCUAACUMCGUGC